rnacentral:rRNA from 1 species
GAAUUCGAUUCAGGCCUAACACAUGCAAGUCGAACGAGAUUAUAGGGUAAGCUUGCUUACCUUAUAUGACAGUGGCGCACGGGUGCGUAACGCGUAUGCAAUCUACCUUAAUCAGGGGGAUAGCCUCUCGAAAGAGAGAUUAAUACCGCAUAACAUUAUGAUAUGGCAUCAUAUUAUAAUCAAACAUUUAUGGGAUUAAGAUGAGCAUGCGUGACAUUAGCUAGUUGGUGAGGUAACGGCUCACCAAGGCAACGAUGUCUAGGGGAUCUGAGAGGAUGACCCCCCACACUGGUACUGAGACACGGACCAGACUCCUACGGGAGGCAGCAGUAAGGAAUAUUGGUCAAUGGACGCAAGUCUGAACCAGCCAUGCCGCGUGCAGGAAGACGGCCCUACGGGUUGUAAAGUGCUUUUAUACGGGAAUAACCUUCUUUCGGAAAGAAG